GACGAACGCUGGCGGCGUGCCUAAUACAUGCAAGUUGAGCGAUGAAGCUUGGUGCUUGCACCAAUUUGAAGAGCAGCGAACGGGUGAGUAACGCGUGGGGAAUCUGCCUUUGAGCGGGGGACAACAUUUGGAAACGAAUGCUAAUACCGCAUAACAACUUUAAACAUAAGUUUUAAGUUUGAAAGAUGCAAUUGCAUCACUCAAAGAUGAUUCCGCGUUGUAUUAGCUAGUUGGUGAGGUAAAGGCUCACCAAGGCGAUGAUACAUAGCCGACCUGAGAGGGUGAUCGGGCACAUUGGGACUGAGACACGGCCCAAACUCCUACGGGAGGCAGCAGUAGGGAAUCUUCGGCAAUGGACGAAAGGCUUACCGAGCAACGCCGCGGGAGUGAAGAAGGGUUUCGGAUCGUAAAACUCUGUUGGUAGAGAAGAACGUUGGUGAGAGUGGAAAGCUCAUCAAGUGACGGUAACUACACAGAAAGGGACGGCUAACUACGUG
rnacentral:rRNA from 1 species